rnacentral:rRNA from 1 species
UACGUAGGCAGCAAGCGUUGUUCGGAGUUACUGGGCGUAAAGGGUGUGUAGGCGGUUCUUUAAGUUUGGUGUGAAAUCUCCCGGCUCAACCGGGAGGGUGCGCCGAAUAUUGAGGGACUCGAGUGCGGGAGAGGAAAGUGGAAUUCCUGGUGUAGCGGUGAAAUGCGUAGAUAUCAGGAGGAACACCGGUGGUGUAGACGGCUUUCUGGACCGUAACUGACGCUGAGGCACGAAAGCGUGGGUAGCAAACAGG